rnacentral:rRNA from 1 species
CCUACGGGGGGCAGCAGUGGGGAAUAUUGGACAAUGGGCGAAAGCCUGAUCCAGCCAUGCCGCGUGUGUGAAGAAGGCCUUCGGGUUGUAAAGCACUUUCAGUGGGGAAGAAAGCCUUGGGGCUAAUACCCUCGAGGAAGGACAUCACCCACAGAAGAAGCACCGGCUAACUCUGUGCCAGCAGCCGCGGUAAUACGGAGGGUGCGAGCGUUAAUCGGAAUUACUGGGCGUAAAGCGCGCGUAGGCGGUCUGAUAAGCCGGUUGUGAAAGCCCCGGGCUCAACCUGGGAACGGCAUCCGGAACUGUCAGGCUAGAGUGCAGGAGAGGAAGGUAGAAUUCCCGGUGUAGCGGUGAAAUGCGUAGAGAUCGGGAGGAAUACCAGUGGCGAAGGCGGCCUUCUGGACUGACACUGACGCUGAGGUGCGAAAGCGUGGGUAGCAAACAGGAUUAGAUACCCCAGUAGUC